UAUUUGUGUUAGAAAAGGCAAUACAAUGGAUUUCACGAGAAAUGGUCCUCGCUGCUGGAACAACUGGUGCAGUGAACCAGUUACAAAAUAGUUGGCAGAAUCAACGCAGUUCCCAGUUACAAGUCAGCAACAGCCACCAGCAAG